GUGCUAGUGUCGGCAGCACGUAUACUAAGACAGGAACGUUACAGAGAUUAGGGUGGCCGCUGAGCAGGGAUGACAUGUUAAUUCGUGAGGCGUUCCAUACUUAA
ensembl:snRNA Gm56224 U6 spliceosomal RNA